rnacentral:lncRNA from 1 species
CACAGGACUGGUGUUUCAUGGUUUUCCCAGCAUCUCAAACUCAACACAAAAGUUUAAAAAAAGGAAAUGGUUGUCUAUUAUAAUAAGGGCUCUAUUCAAUCUGUAGUGCUGAAGAUUUGCUUUAUAGCGCGAUUGACAAUUAAAGGCAAUGUUCCCGCGGUCACGGAGACUGUAUUCACAGUAAAUACUGCAUAUAUUGCCCCAAUCGGGAAUUAACUUUACAUUUUUACACGGAUCAUCCACGAUACGGAUUUAAUCCAGCCCUAAUUUAUUGUGACAUCUAAAAAAACAUUGUAAUUUCAGUCUGUGCUUAAAAGACUAAACAAUGCAUCAUUUGAAGUCACUUUUUCUUGAAGGUCUUCCAGGUUCUGUAGUUCCUUCUGUGGCACCUACAUUUAUUGUAUUAUCUGUAACCAUGCUCUAUAACUGUUGUUGAAAAGUCCAAGGAAAUUACUAUAGUAGCCUGGUAAAGCAGGCUCAAAAACAACAACAGUGGGCAGUGGAACUUCCAAACCAGCUUGGCUUUUAUGUUGGACUUCCUACAACAGCUACAGACAUACAGUACACAUUUAGAACAUCAACUUUGUACAAGUAUAAAAAAAGAGCUAAUCGAGAGAGCAGGGCUUCUACAGCUGAGGAGGUGGAGAAACUGGGAACUGAGGGGUCGAGCCAUGGCCGGACUGUCGGACCCUGAGUCGCUGCGGUUGGUCUCCUGACCGUGGAUCCAGCUCGAUCUGUAGUCACAUAACAGGAGCUGCCUUUGGAGGGCUGAAAUGUUACUGAGUGGAUUGCGCCCGACACCCAGGGUAUUAUAGCACAUUUGGUGGGAGUUGGUCUGGCUCACAGGGUUGUGCUUUAGGGAACCCCUCUCUGCAAAGUUUUGUUUCUUGUAGCUAUGGCAUGAAAACAGGUCACAGUCACAAGAGUUUGCUUCAGCCCACUUCUGGAACCAGGCUAUAGGACAAGUCUACAAUCUAAAGGAAAAGAGUCUGGGGCAAAGUGCAGUGUGUCCUGUAUGGGGAUUGUCUUCACAUUCUGUCGGGGGGCCAUUGUGAGUGCAGGCCCCUGGUCUGUGUGGCCCGUGGGCCUUGCUCUUACAGGACUGGCAGCAGGCCUUCCUGUAGUACCAGUGUGUACACAGCCUCACCUUCAGUACCAGGGCACAGAUGGCCGUCACCUUGUCCUGACAUACCUCUUCAACUUGGGGAGAAGAAGGGGGACACUAUUACAGUGGCCAUUUUGACAGAGGGGCAGGCAGACAAACAGGCUGGCAAACAGACAGACAGACAGCUCUCCUCGGGUUUGAGGGUGGAGUCACACGUCUGCUCUGGGAACUCUUUGAACAUGCAGUCCUCCAGGCCUGAACACACAACCUGCUGCGUUUUCACCCCUCGCCCACAGGUGGCGUUACACUGUUGUGCACAGGGCAGUUAUUGUCCCCACAGGGCUACACAGCCAGGGGCUUGAGGUCCAGAUCACACUGGCCGUCUGAGAUGACGUUGCUGCGCG